rnacentral:rRNA from 1 species
AUUGAACGCUGGCGGCAGGCCUAACACAUGCAAGUCGAGCGGGGUUUUCGGACCUAGCGGCGGACGGGUGAGUAAUGCGUAGGAAGCUGCCCGAUAGAGGGGGAUACCAGUUGGAAACGACUGUUAAUACCGCAUAGUGUCUACGGACCAAAGUGUGGGACCUUCGGGCCACAUGCUAUCGGAUGCGCCUACGUGGGAUUAGCUAGUUGGUGAGGUAAUGGCUCACCAAGGCGACGAUCUCUAGCUGGUUUGAGAGGAUGAUCAGCCACACUGGAACUGAGACACGGUCCAGACUCCUACGGGAGGCAGCAGUGGGGAAUAUUGGACAAUGGGCGCAAGCCUGAUCCAGCCAUGCCGCGUGUGUGAAGAAGGCCUUCGGGUUGUAAAGCACUUUCAGCGAGGAGGAAGGGUUAGUCGUUAAUAGCGGCUAAUUUUGACGUUACUCGCAGAAGAAGCACCGGCUAACUCUGUGCCAGCCGCCGCAGUAAGAC